rnacentral:rRNA from 1 species
CCUACGGGAGGCAGCAGUGAGGAAUAUUGGUCAAUGGUCGGAAGCCUGAACCAGCCAAGUCGCGUGAGGGAGGACGGUCCUACGUAUUGUAAACCUCUUUUGUCCGGGAACAAUGCCUGGCACGCGUCCCCGGAUGAAUGUACCUCACGAAAAAGGACCGGCAAACUCCGUGCCCGCAGCCGCGGUAAUACGGAGGGUGCGGGCGUUAUCCGGAUUUAUUGGGUUUAAAGGGUGCGGAGGCGGUGUGUUAAGUGAGCGGUAAAAGCCCGGGGCUCAACCCGGGCCCGCCGGUGAAACUGGCGGGCUGGAGUGGGAGAGAAGUAGGCGGAAUGCGUGGUGUAGCGGUGAAAUGCAUAGAUAUGGCGCAGAACUCCGAUUGCGAAGGCAGCAUGCCGGAGCCACACUGACGCUGAGGCACGAAAGCGUGGGUAUCGAACAGGAUUAGAUACCCGGGUAGUC